ensembl:lncRNA novel transcript
CUUGAACACCUCAUACCCACAGUCCUCCAGGUGGUUCCUAAGGAUCUUAGGAUCCCCGAUGGGCGUCCUAAGCCAGUGGGGGAAGAGGGGCUGGCUCUCAGUCCCCGCCUUGCGGGGGGUGUCUCCCCACCCUGUGAUGGGGGUCACAAGAGCCAGAGGGGGAAGAGGGGCUGGCUCUCAACCACCACGAAAUGGGAGGCCUUUAUGUUCAGGUUUUGCCCAAGAGUCAGCUUAUUUGCUUCUUGUACUAGCAGGGCAGUUGCUGCCAAAGCCCUCAAAUAGGGAGGCCGUCCUUUAGCAACCCUGUCUAGUUGUUUAGAGACGUAGGCUACCGGCCUCAGCCAGGGCCCCACAGUUUGGGUUAAAAGUCCAGCUGCCAUCUUUUCUCUCUCUGACGCAUACAAUGGAAAAGGCUUUGUCAGAUCGGGUAGCCCCAGGGCUGGGGCUGCCAGAAGAUUUUCUUGUAACUCAUGAAAAACUUGCUGUUGUUGGGAUCCCCAUUUCAAAAGUUCCGGGUCCCCGACCCCUUUGUGACCUCAUACAAAGGCUUGGCUAAUACUGCAAAGUUUGGGAUCCACAGUCUACAAAACCCCACAGCUCCUAAGAAUUCUCUCACCUGCCUUCUGCCCUUAAGCUCCGGUAGAUUGCAAAUAACCUGCUUUCUUUCUGUUCCCGAGCUGCGUUCGGACCCGUCUGAUCGUAAAUCCCAUGUAAGGUACCUGCCGUCGGAAGAUUUGAACGUUCUACUUGGACACCUAAAACCCACAGUCCUCCAGACAGAAAGACAACAGGUACAAAGCCCUAAGGAUUAUAAAGGUAUGCUGCUUACCAUCAUCUUAGUGACCAAGGCAGCGAAGCUGUUUCUGUACCUUGGAACAGUCUUCCCUGACAAGCCAGAGAACAGUGAUAAAGCCACCAGCCUUGGGAUCAGGACUGAAAAGGCAAGAGUGAUGGAGAUUUCUCCUGCGCUAAGCCAAGAGAAGGUUUCAGCACUUCAGACAGCUCCCACCGAAGUAGCCGCGCUCCCAGCUGCUUGCAGAUGUUGAAAAGGAAAGCCUCGGUUUGUCUUGAGGUUGUCAGCAGGUGCAAGACACGUAAUAAAAUGCAAUGUGUUCCUAAUUCAUUGCAUAUCCUCAGCUUUAAAUUUGGGUAGCAAAAUGAUUACUCUAGAUUCUUCAGUCUUGGCAAGUAUCUGUACCUAAAAAGCAGUUUUUCUACCUAAUGUCUUUUUUUGUUUUUGUUUUUCAAUACACCUUAAGCAAAUUGAAGCUUUUGUUCCUGGAGGAAAAGUGGUUUGAUAUGUUCAUCUAUCUUUUAGUAAAUUUGGGGGCAUAACUUUUCCAAUUCUGAGGAACUUUUCUAAGAAGAGUGCAUAAAAGUUUGUUGUUGUUUUUAAAGGAUGCAACAUUCAGCCUGUGUCAUGAGUUUAAUUAUACAAUUUAAAGGACAUAUGUGCAAUGCAUUUUGCAGAUGUGUGCCGGAUAUAUAUGUGCAGAUAAUGGGCAAGUAUAUAUGUGUGCAUAUAUAUAUCGGGAGUAUACUAUAUAAACACACAAUACACGCCCACCCACACACAUUGUGUAUUUUCCAGAAAAAAAAAAAAAAGCAUGUCAGGACUUACAUCUAAGUUAGAGAUGCUGUUUAGAACCCCAUUAAAAAAUGUACAUGUU